rnacentral:tRNA from 1 species
GGCCUCGUAGCUCAGUUGACUAGACCGUUGGCUGUACUAAAACUUAUCCCUCGAUGGCGUGGGUUCGAAUCUCACCGAAGCCG